UACGGAGGGGGGCGAGCGUUAUUCGGAAUUAUUGGGCGUAAAGGGCGCGUAGGCGGCUGAACAAGUCAAAGGUGAAAUCCCUCGGCUCAACUGAGGAACUGCCUUUGAAACUGUUCGGCUUGAGGCCGGGAGGGGGUAGCGGAAUUCCCAGUGUAGCGGUGAAAUGCGUAGAUAUUGGGAGGAACACCAGUGGCGAAGGCGGCUACCUGGACCGGUUCUGACGCUGAGGCGCGAAAGCGUGGGUAGCAAACAGG
rnacentral:rRNA from 1 species